AGUGUUGGUGAAUGAACCCAGGACUUCACCCUAUGUGAGGAAGGUUUCCUAUCACAGCCACAAUGGAAUUGGUGACGUUUGGAGCUAGGGUUCCUUGAAAGUGAUUAAUUAGAUCACCUCACAGAGAAAGCCCAAGAGAGGUCCUGUGCCCUUCAACCAUAUGGAGACACUGGGAGGAGAUGAUUGGUCCACUGUGACACCAAGAAGCAAACUUCUCACCAGCCACAUGAUCCAAGAUUUCCCUAACCUCCAGAAUCACAAAGAAUAAACUUAUGUAGUUUCAAGUCCUCAGCUUAUGAAAGUCUGUGCUAGCAGCCAAGUGGACUAAAAGAGUGAAUGCCCCACACUAUACCUUAGACUAUAUGAGACGAUGUGGCUUGCUGGGUGUAGAGGUGUGUGCUUGUAAUUUCCAAACUUGAAGGUCAGGGUAAGACAAGUGCUCUGAGUCUGAGGUCAGUCGGGCUACAUAAUGAAACCCUGUCUCAAAACCACAAAAAUAAACAACUUCCUCUCCAACCUGCACCCCACCCUGAGCCCCAGUACCAGCCCCAGUACCAGCCUUCCAAGCUCAUUUUAACAAGUAGGUGAUUAUCAUUAUUUUAUGGCAACAUUGUAUGUUGUUAAAUUUCACAUUAAAACAAUUUUUAGAUAA